rnacentral:rRNA from 1 species
UCCAGCAAUGCCGCGUGAGUGAAGAAGGCCUUCGGGUUGUAAAGCUCUUUUACCCGGGAAGAUAAUGACUGUACCGGGAGAAUAAGCCCCGGCUAACUCCGUGCCAGCAGCCGCGGUAAUACCGAAGGGGCUAGCGUUGUUCGGAAUUACUGGGCGUAAAGCGUACGUAGGCGGUCUUUUAAGUCAGAGGUGAAAGCCCGGGGCUCAACUCCGGAAUUGCCUUUGAAACUGGGAGACUUGAACAUGGGAGAGGUAAGUGGAAUUCCGAGUGUAGAGGUGAAAUUCGUAGAUAUUCGGAGGAACACCAGUGGCGAAGGCGGCUUACUGGACCAUUGUUGACGCUGAGGUACGAAAGCGUGGGGAGCAAACAGGAUUAGAUACCCUGGUAGUCCACGCCGUAAACGAUGACAACUAGCUGUUCGGGCACUUGGUGCUUCUGUGGCGCAGCUAACACAUUAAGUUGUCCGCCUGGGGAGUACGGCCGCCACGGUUAAACUCAUAAGAAUUGACGGGGGCCUGCAC